rnacentral:lncRNA from 1 species
AUGAUGGUACUCCAUUAAGAAUUUUCAUGUUUUUGAAUGAAUAUGCGAAUAUUGAUAUGUUCUUUCCCUGCAUGAACCGCCAUUCAGCAUUUAAUUUACAUCACACAAAAGGAUAAACAUAUAAUUAUCAUGGAAUAAGUAUAUCAACAUUCAUGGACUACAAUAAAGCAUAAAAUUAGUAACAUAUCUAAAAAUAAAAUGAUAGAUGACGUUAUUGUUCUUCUUGGUCACGUUAGUGUCAUUGAUUGAAUUCGUUUAACAAUUCAUUGAUUCGAUCUAAAAACGAAUCAUCGAUAUUAGCAGGCGUCUAACUAUUUCCAAAUCCCUGAGCGUUAGUGUUUUAUUGUGUUCCCAAUCUAAACUCCCCGAAGAUUGUCCAUCC